rnacentral:rRNA from 1 species
CCUACGGGAGACAGCAGUAGGGAAUUUUCGUCAAUGGGGGGAACCCUGACCGAGCAACGCCGCGUGAAGGAAGAAGGAAUUCGUUCUGUAAACUUCUGUUAUAAAGGAAGAAAGACGGAUGGAGGAAAUGACAUCCGAGUGACGGUACUUUAUGAGAAAGCCACGGCUAACUACGUGCCAGCAGCCGCGGUAAUACGUAGGUGGCAAGCGUUGUCCGGAAUUAUUUGGCGUAAAGAGGGAGCAGGCGGCAGCAAAGGUCUGUGGUGAAAGAGUGAAGCUUAACGUCAGGAAGCCAUAGAAACCGGGCAGCUAGAGUGCAGGAGAGGAUCGUGGAAUUCGAUGUGUAGCGGUGAAAUGCGUAGAGAUAUGGAGGAACACCAGUGGCGAAGGCGACGAUCUGGCCUGCAACUGACGCUCAGUCCCGAAAGCGUGGGGAGCAAAUAGGAUUAGAUACCCCUGUAGUC